rnacentral:rRNA from 1 species
GACGAACGCUGGCGGCGUGCUUAACACAUGCAAGUCGAACGGGUCUGCCCUGUUUUUUGCGGGGUGGGUCCGUGGCGAACGGGUGAGUAACCCGUGAGUAACCUGCCCCUCACUUCUGGAUAACCGCUUGAAAGGGUGGCUAAUACGGGGUGUUCUGGCUGUGCCGCAUGGUGUGGCUGGGAAAGAUUCACUUUUGUGGUGUUUUGGUGGGGGAUGGGCUCGCGGCCUAUCAGCUUGUUGGUGGGGUGAUGGCCUGCCAAGGCUUUGACGGGUAGCCGGCCUGAGAGGGUGGGCGGUCACACUGGGACUGAGAUACGGCCCAGACUCCUGCGGGAGGCAGCAGUGGGGGGUAUUGCACAAUGGGCGGAAGCCUGAUGCAGCGACGUCGCGUGAGGGAUGGAGGCCUUCGGGUUGUGAACCUCUUUCGCCGGUGAAGAAGGUCCUGCUCUUUGUGGUGGGGUUGACGGUAGCCGGGUUAUGAAGCGCCGGCUAACUACGUG